rnacentral:rRNA from 1 species
UACGAAGGGGGCAAGCGUUGUUCGGAAUCACUGGGCGUAAAGGGCGCGUAGGCGGACAUUUAAGUCAGGGGUGAAAUCCCGGGGCUCAACCCCGGAACUGCCCUUGAUACUGGGUGUCUUGAGACCGGAAGAGGUAAGUGGAACUGCGAGUGUAGAGGUGAAAUUCGUAGAUAUUCGCAAGAACACCAGUGGCGAAGGCGGCUUACUGGUCCGGAUCUGACGCUGAGGCGCGAAAGCGUGGGGAG